CGCAACACUCAACUUCACAGUCGUACGCCACCGUACGUCCUGGACCGUAGUAGCCCUCCUUUCAUGAUACAGACAUGGCGUUCUUUACAAGGCAGUAAGCUCGAGUAGCCUAAACUUGAGGUCUGAGUCUGAUGCGAUGGUGCUCUGCACGCUCCCCUUUUCAUGUAGGUUUGGAGCUGAACUGGAAUUUCGACUUCCUGUGACCUGUCGAGACUCAUCUGCCUGCCCGGACUGAGGUCUUUCUUGUACGCACACACACACUCAGAGACAUGCUGAGUCGUGUUAAGGAGCCACCUCAAAGUAGAGUGGAGGCCCAGGUGUGCAGCAGUGGUUGGGGGUGGGACGGGUACAGGCAGGCCUGUGCCGGAUCCCCUGGCAGGCGGAGGUGCUCCCUGUGCUGGCUUGUUUCUCCCUCUUCCCUCUUCUACUAUGUCUGCAAGCAUAAACACAGGUCAUAGAUGUGGCUCCCUUGAAAGAUACUGUCUUCUUGCUUUCUUUCUUUCUUUCUUUCUUUCAUGUAUGGUUUAAAAAAAGUUACAAAAGUCACAAAACUAUAUAAAGUCACAAAACUAUAUACAAAGGCCACAAUAAACAGCCCUGUUAACCCCUUAAAGUGCAGGCCCAGUUAAUAACCCCU